CAAUCACGUGGAAUGCCAAAAAAAGAAACCUUUGUGCUGAGGUGAAGGGAUCAGAGCCCAGGCUGCAGCAAGCGGCUGCAGAAUUUCCUGCAAGAGCCCAUUGAGAUCUCACACUGUGACACAGCUGGAAAAACACGUUCCCAGCCUGCAGGCAGAAGCAAAGCUCUAAAACAGAGGAGCUUCAAGCUGACAAACAGCCCCGAUUUAAGGAGUUAAGCUGAAGAGCUCUCAUCACUAAAAGCACAUCUGCUGCAUGCCAGCUACUUUCUCUAAGUAGGCAAUUGUGGCCCUGGAUGCCUACCAGUAGUUAUGCUGUAACAGUGUCAAAGGUUAAGGCAGAUUUUCUGCAGAUCA